UAUGAUUUGAUAAUUUAGUUUUGUUUGGGAAUUGAAUAUGGUUUAUGAUUGCAUAACUAUAGAGAUUAUUGUUGAGUUUAUUUACUGUUUGCAAUAUAGAUUGAUUAUUAUUCUUGUAGAAUGAUUUAUUAGUUUAUAUUGUUAUCAAAUUCACACACUUUGUUCUUGUAGUUCAAAGGGUGAUGUUAUGCAAUGGUAUUUCAAGAAUUGUGGUUGAAAAGUUGAAUAAUUUAUGCUUUAGUUAGAUAAGUUAUGUCACCUAAUUAAUCACAACACUAUUUUGUUGGAAGUAAUCCCGGCUUGUAGUUUAGGGAGCUUGAUAAACCAAUUAAAUCUCACUCAAACUAAGUUGUCAAUCAUAUUAAUAGUGGUGGAUUCGAAUGUCCUAGAAGUUCCUCCAUACUAUUUGUCGUCCGUGAAUUUUAGUAAUUUGUUAUUUUAGUAUUACAAUUUAAGUCUAAUUAGCUAGUUUAAUAGUCAUAACCAAAUCAAUCAAUUUAUUUUCUUAGAAUUAAAUUAGUAGACGUUGAAUUUAGCAUUAACCCACGUUCCCUGUGGAUACGAUACCUUAUUAUUUAUCACUAUCUACUGGAUCUUGUACACUUGCAAGAAUAGGGUUUUAUAACUUGUUUAAAAUCGCUAUCAAGUUUUUGGCGCCGUUGCCGGGGAACGGUGUUUGGUUAAUUCAGUUUCAUUGUCUACUAGUUCAAUUUGUAUUUUACGUGUCUUUAGUUUCUUGUUUUCUAUUUUCUUAGUCUUAAUUAAAAAUUUAAAGAAAAAAAAAAUAUGUUUUUAUCAUUUUUGGCAUUGUAAUUAGUUCCUACAACUUGUUUUCCUUUAUUCUUUUUUUUUUCCAUCAUAUUUUUCCUGUUUUAAUUUACAGUUUAGUUCCACUUAUCUUUAGUUAUAUUUUAGGUGUUGGUGAAUUCGGUUUAACUGUCUGCUAUUUUAGUUCUUUGCAUAAUUUAUAUGUUUUUGAUAUUAUUUAUAUUAUGAUUUUAUUCUAUAUCAUUACUAGCUCAGGUAGGAGUCUAGCUGUUUUAAUCUUAUAGUAUUAUUAGGUUAUUUUUAUUUCAUAAUUUAUCUAUUGUUAGUUUAUGGCUAGGGUUAAUUUUCUACAAUAUGAGGGAGAAGUAUUUUGGAGGUACAUGGAGAGGCUUAAAGAUUUUCUUGCUCGAUUCAUAAACCAUCAUUUAGAAAAAUGGGAAGUAUGCCAAAUAAUUUAUGAGGGCGUUAAUGAUGAGACUAGAUGCAUCAUUGAGUCAAUGUUUGAUGGAGCCUUUAUGUCUCAAACCGUAGAUGAGGCUUGGAGUUUCUUUGAGUGGUUUAUACAAGAAACUUAUGAAUGGGAGUCGGCUAUGCAUUUUAAUUUAUAUGCUCAACCUUUACCAACUCGACCACCUUUUAUGAAUGAUCUUUUGAAUGAACCUCAUACAAAUAAUUUACCUUCAUACCAACCUGAUUUUCAAAUUUCGAGUUCCAAUCAUGAUCUUGAGAUUAUCUUAUCUACUAUUAAUGAUCUUGGUGAGAAAGUAGAGGAGAUAAAUAAUAGUUUGAGGGUAUUACUAAUGGAAGAAACUUUUUGGGAGAGUCCUGUAAUGAAAUCGUUAUUGAGCCUUAUCCCUCAUGUUCACCAUAUUAUAUGGACGAAUUAGAAGCACAAGAGCAACUUAAUGAACAUCAAACAUUCCCAACUCAUGAUGAAGUUAAUUUAGAGGAUAAUAACAAGGAGCAUUAUGAUUGUGCACCACUUUUUCACAUUAAGCAAGAUCUUAGUUCAGUCAAGUUAGAUGAUUUUGGGGUAAACAUGAAUUUUGAGGUGAAUAAUAUUGAGCUUAAGUUACCUAUUGAGCAAGAGAGGUUAAUCAAUUGUGGGGAUGAUAAAGAAAAUGAGACACUAGAUACUUCAGUUUUGAGCUUUGACAAGAGUGAGCAUGAUACUAACAUUUUAUCUUUUCCUAGGGAAACACUCUCUCAUAUGGAGGAUAAGCUGAAUUGCACUAAGAAAAUAAAAGAGUCACACCAGGAAAAGUUUAAAUCUUGUAUUGAUGUAGAGGACACUAUUGAGUUUAUAAGUGUUUUAGAUCCUAUUGAUUCUAAUACAUUAAGUUCUGAUUCUUGUAUGUCACUCUUUUGUCCUACAAUAAAGUUUAGUUCCUCUUAUAACCAUCCAAGAUUCAUAAUUUUAGGACCUGAUUACCCACUAAUAUCUUAUGAUUAUUUUCCAUAUCAAGAGAUUGAAGUCAAACCAUCUAAGUCUUUCAAAGAAGAAAAGAACAAUUUUGAUGUAAUUUUGCAUGACUUUACAUGUUCUAGUGCCCCUAUAUUCUAUAAAUUGUCUCAUUUGAAUUACAAAUAUCAAUUUAAUCCUUUCAACAAAUAUUCUGGUCUUAUUUCUAUUAAGUUGUCAAGGGCUUUAUCGCAUAUAAUUACUUUUGUUUUAUCUUAUUCGUACUUCCACUUUUCUGCAUUUUGUGGUCAAUCUUAUGACAAGCUUCUUCGAGCUUUGACGGGGUAUGAUUUAACUUACUAAAAUAGAGUGGAGUGGUUGAUGCUCUUUAUCCAUUAUAAUGUUAUAUCUUAGCUGAGUGUCUCCCAUUCCCCAUCUUAGUUAAUUAUUAGUCAAAGCUUAUUACUAUACUCUCUUCUUUUGGGGUAAUACUAAAUUAUUCGGAGCAUUGAUAUUUUUAUGCUAUGAAUUAAUUACUGCAUUUGAUUUUCAUGUGCAGGAGUAUGAAGUCUACAACUUGCUUGAACCCGUGAAUUAUGCCAUCUCAGUACUCAUCUCCUAUUUUUGGCUGUUUUUUUCAUAUUCAGCAUGUGUGCCGUAUACUGCUGCCUUGCUGUCUUCUCGGCUGACAUAUUUAACGUUGCGCAUCCUUAUGUUCAGCUUCCACAUCGUAUACACCCCAUCACCAGGUUGUGUUGCUCCAUCCCCCUUAUUUUAUGCUUUUUAUUACUCUCAUCUUGCAUUGAGGACAAUGCAAUAACUAAGUGUGGGGGAGAGGAAAAAUUUGGGGCAUUUUGGAAUUGUUUGGUGUAUGUUGCUGCUAUUUGUUGUUGUUGGUUGGCUGGCUAGUUGUUUUGUGGGAAGAAUCUUAAUAUUACAGGUUUAAAUUAUAUGGCAUUUAAGUGUCGGUUGUCCUAUUUAUGGGGAGAUACUGCCCAAAUUUUUGACAAAAUUUAAUGGGAAAUUUUUUAGGUUUAUAUAUGUUAUUAUGUGUCUAUUUGAGGGUAUAUUAUGCACCAUUCAUUGUCAUCUCAUAGAUGAGCAGCUAGUUAAUGAGAAUAAUUGAUAAUAGGCUCUAAUCUAACAACGUUUUACUCAAAUUCCGUUUUAUUACAUAAAAAAAUUAUUUUUGAAGUUAUGAAUGUGAUGGCUUUAACUCUUGCAACCUAUUAAUGUACCUUAAUAAUGAUCAUUCUUAUUAGUAAUCUAGCACACUUUCUUCAUUGGCUUAGAUGCGGGGUAUGGAGGAAGGACUUUUAUACUUUAAUCUACCUAAUUAGUACCUAUACUCUUCUUGGUGAUCUUUCACUGCUCUUGGUUACUGGAGAAUUACUUGACUUUGUUAAAAAAAACAGAGGGAAUCAUGGUUCAGAAAAAAAAAAAAGGAAUUAGUAAUCCAAAUUAUCAAAAUUGUGAGAAUGUGAACCAUUGAAAAAAAAUAGUGAAAAUUCGUAUUUCCAAAAAGAAAAUCGAAAAAAAGCAUAGAAAAAGCCUCAAAAGCGAUGCAAACAACAAAGUAUCGAGUACUCCUUUGAGAUCAUUGGGUGGCAAGUGCAAUGUCAUAUGAAAGAGACGAUCCAUGUACGGGUACUAAGUGCCUCUUGUACGGAAAAGUAUGUGGGAAUCAACUGAAAUAAUAAUCAAGUCCGACUAAAAUACCUCGUAUUCGAACGUCAAUACACUUGCACAUGAGCACCUAGAUUACUUAUGAGAACAAACUAAUUUUAUUAUAAAGGUUGUUCGAGAAUAAAAGUUCAACAGCGUUCAUAGCUUGCUAACCUAACAAAAAUGUUUUUUGUGACUAACUUUUUAAGUUUUUUUUUUUUUAAAAAAAAAAACAAACCAUUUUAGCCUACUAUUAAAUUCUCAUUAGUCUUUGGUUUCUUCUUUGAGGGGUGGUGAGUGAUACGAUGCUAGUUGGUCUUCAGUAAUAAUGGAUAUUGCUUUAAAAAUUUAUUUGCUCGAGGACUAGCAAAGUUGUAGUGUGGGGGAGUUGAUAAGUGUGAAUUAUUAUAUAUUAUAACCUUCUUAUUCCCUUUUACUAGCUUCUUAUUAGUAUUAUAAACUAUAGGUUGUGGGUUUUAAUUGUUUUCAUAUUUUAUUUAGAAAUUAUAUUUAUAUGAAGAUUUAUAAGUUUGACCUAUCUUAUAUAUUAUACUAGUAAUUAUUUAUAGAAUGUUGAUAGGUACAUUAUAAUGUUGGAGCGAAAGAAAUGAAAUUGGGCCUUAACAAUUUUAAUGGGUUAAACCUAUUUGAAUCAAAACAACAAAGCAAGAAGAAUAAAAGGAACUUGGAUUUCUUUUUUUGGGAAAUGACGUCCAACUAAAGAACAAAAGGGAGCUGAAUGGGUUUUUGGUUUUGGAGGGCUGAAAUAUCACGCAACAACAGGAGGAGUGGGCUUGGAUUAAAAGAGAGGAGAAAAUAUGUUGGGCUGGGGGACGGACACCAACAUACAGCAGCAAUAAAAAAGAGGGUUUUUGGCUAGACGAAGAAAAGGAGACACGCAGGAGAGGAGCAGCAGACCAACUGAGGACGGCGGCAGAGUUCGACGAGGGGAAACGCAGCAGCAGUACAGCAACGUCAAUUCGAGCCUUCCGUCAUAAUUUUCAGCCAUGGUUUCUUAUAAUUUGGGUGAUAUUCUCUUCAAUUAUGAGUAGCUAAUUUUUUCUAUUAUAGGGCCUAGAUGAAACUCGUAUUAGUAUGAUUUGAUAAUUUAGUUUUGUUUGGGAAUUGAUUAUGGUUUAUGAUUGCAUAACUAUAGAGAUUAUUGUUGAGUUUAUUUACUGUUUGCAAUAUAGAUUGAUUAUUAUUCUUGUAGAAUGAUUUAUUAGUUUAUAUUGUUAUCAAAUUCACACACUUUGUUCUUGUA